CCUACGGGAGGCAGCAGUGGGGGAUAUUGCACAAUGGGGGAAACCCUGAUGCAGCGACGCCGCGUGAGUGAAGAAGUAUUUCGGUAUGUAAAGCUCUAUCAGCAGGGAAGAAAAUGACAGUACCUGACCAAGAAGCCUCGGCUAACUACGUGCCAGCAGCCGCGGUAAUACGUAGGGGGCAAGCGUUAUCCGGAUUUACGUGGUGUAAAGGGAGCGUAGACGGUUUGGUAAGUAUGAAGUGAAAGCCCGGGGCGCACCCCUCGUACUGCUUUGGAAACUGGGUAACUUGAGUUCAGGAGAGGGGGGUGGAACUCCAGGUGUAGCGGUGAAAUGCGGAGAUAUCAGGAGGAACACCAGCGGCGAAGGCGGCCCGCUGGACGGAAACUGACGCUGAGGCUCGAAAGCGUGGGGAGCAAACAGGAUUAGAUACCCGGGUAGUC
rnacentral:rRNA from 1 species